GAUGAAGAACGCAGCGAAAUGCGAUAAGUAAUGUGAAUUGCAGAAUUCAGUGAAUCAUCGAAUCUUUGAACGCACCUUGCACCCUUUGGUAUUCCGAAGGGUAUGCUCGUUUGAGUGUCAUUGUACUCUCACACUUCUAUUUCCUUUCGGGAUUGGGAGCGGUGGACUUGGGUGUUGCUGCUUUAGUUGUGGCUCACCUCAAAUAAGUUAGUGCAACUCUUGGUUGGACAUAGUACGGCGUGAUAAGUGUCUUCGCCGGCGCCUCUGUAAGGAGGGUGGCCGAUCGGGAGCUCUGUGCUUCAAACCGUCUUCGGACAAUCUUUGACAACUUGACCUCAAAUCGAGUAGGACUACCCGCUGAACUUAAGCAUAUCAAUAAGCGGAGGA
rnacentral:misc_RNA from 1 species